AUUGAACGCUGGCGGCAUGCUUUACACAUGCAAGUCGAACGGUAACAGGUUAAGCUGACGAGUGGCGAACGGGUGAGUAAUGCAUCGGAACGUGCCCGAUCGUGGGGGAUAACGCAGCGAAAGCUGCGCUAAUACCGCAUACGAUCUGAGGAUGAAAGCGGGGGACCGUAAGGCCUCGCGCGAUCGGAGCGGCCGAUGUCAGAUUAGGUAGUUGGUGGGGUAAAGGCCCACCAAGCCGACGACCUGUAGCUGGUCUGAGCGGACGACCAGCCACACUGGGACAGAGACACGGCCCAGACUCCUACGGGAGGCAGCAGUGGGGAAUUUUGGACAAUGGGCGAAAGCCUGAUCCAGCAAUGCCGCGUGCAGGAAGAAGGCCUUCGGGUUGUAAACUGCUUUUGUACGGAGCGAAAAGGUCCUUUCUAAUACAAGGGGCUCAUGACGGUACCGUAAGAAUAAGCACCGGCUAACUACGUGCCAGCCGCCGCCGUAAAAC
rnacentral:rRNA from 1 species